GCACAGGUUAGACAGAUACAAAAUUUGACAGUUUCUGAUCCAAAUAGGCAUAGAGGAUUGGGGAGCAGGCGGUGCUUAUCAAGAAUGAUGGAGAGAAUCUACGGAGGAGGUUAUCCGUUUUCCAGACUUCUUCUUGUUCUUUGGAUGUAUACUGUGGUCCACUAUGCAGCUGGUCAGCAUUUUCCUUGUCCAUUAUCAAACAUGAACGUGUCUACGGCGAUGGUUUGUGAUGGACAUUACGACUGUGAUUAUUACGAGGAUGAAUCAA